AGUGAACGCUGGCGGCGUGCUUAACACAUGCAAGUCGAACGAGAACGGAUUAUAGCUUGCUAUAAUUGUCAGCUAAGUGGCGCACGGGUGAGUAAUGUAUAGGUAAUAUGCCUCUUACUAAGGGACAACAAAUGGAAACGUUUGCUAAUACCUUAUACUCCUUAUUAACAGAAGUUAAUAAGGGAAAGAUUUAUUGGUAAGAGAUUAGCCUGUAUUGUAUCAGUUAGUUGGCGGGGUAAUGGCUUACCAAGACUAUGACACAUAACUGGUUUGAGAGGAUGAUCAGUCACACUGGAACUGAGACACGGUCCAGACUCCUACGGGAGGCAGCAGUGGGGAAUAUUGCACAAUGGACGAAAGUCUGAUGCAGCAACGCCGCGUGGAGGAUGACACAUUUCGGUGCGUAAACUCCUUUUAUAUGAGAAGAUAAUGACGGUAUUAUAUGAAUAAGCACCGGCUAACUCCGUGCCAGCCGCCGCGGUAA
rnacentral:rRNA from 1 species